rnacentral:rRNA from 1 species
AGCGGCGAGUUAGGUAGUAAUACUUGACCUAGAGCGGCGCACGGGUGCGUAACGCGUAUGCAACCUACCUUUUACAGGGGGAUAGCCCGGAGAAAUCUGGAUUAAUACCCCAUAGUACCUAAGGAUCGAUUGGUUUUUAGUUUAAAGAUUUAUCGGUAAAAGAUGGGCAUGCGUCUGAUUAGCUAGUUGGCGGGGUAACGGCCCACCAAGGCGACGAUCAGUAGGGGUUCUGAGAGGAAGGUCCCCCACACUGGCACUGAGAUACGGGCCAGACUCCUACGGGAGGCAGCAGUAGGGAAUAUUGGGCAAUGGUCGCAAGACUGACCCAGCCAUGCCGCGUGCAGGAAGACGGCCCUCUGGGUUGUAAACUGCUUUUAUCUGGGAAGAAAAAGUCCAUGCGUGGAAAAUUGCCGGUACCAGAUGAAUAAGCACCGGCUAACUCCGUGCCAGCAGCCGCGGUAAUACGGAGGGUGCAAGCGUUGUCCGGAUUUAUUGGGUUUAAAGGGUGCGUAGGCGGCUGAAUAAGUCAGCGGUGAAAGACUUCGGCUUAACCGGAGCAGUGCCGUUGAUACUGUUUAGCUUGAGUGUUGGAGGGGUACAUGGAAUUGAUGGUGUAGCGGUGAAAUGCAUAGAUACCAUCAGGAACACCGAUAGCGAAGGCAUUGUACUGGCCAACAACUGACGCUGAGGCACGAAAGUGUGGGGAUCGAACAGGAUUAGAUACCCUGGUAGUCCACACUGUAAACGAUGAUUACUCGCUGUUAUGCUGUAUAGUGUAGCGGCCAAGCGAAAGCGUUAAGUAAUCCACCUGGGGA